rnacentral:tRNA from 1 species
GGGGUUCUAGCUCAUCGGUAGAGCGCUCGCUUAGCAUCCUCUGUACGGACGCAUGCGAGAGGUACAGGAUUCGACUCCCUGGUACUCCA